rnacentral:rRNA from 1 species
AGGUGGUGCAUGGUUGUCGUCAGCUCGUGUCGUGAGAUGUUGGGUUAAGUCCCGCAACGAGCGCAACCCUUAAGCUUAGUUGCCAUCAUUAAGUUGGGCACUCUAAGUUGACUGCCGGUGACAAACCGGAGGAAGGUGGGGAUGACGUCAAAUCAUCAUGCCCCUUAUGAUUUGGGCUACACACGUGCUACAAUGGACAAUACAAAGGGCAGCGAAACCGCGAGGUCAAGCAAAUCCCAUAAAG